AACGAACGCUGGCGGCAGGCCUAACACAUGCAAGUCGAGCGCCCUCUUCGGAGGGAGCGGCGGACGGGUUAGUAACGCGUGGGAACGUGCCUCUCUCUUGGGAAUAGCCAUUGGAAACGAUGAUUAAUGCCCGAUACGCCCUUUGGGGGAAAGAUUUAUCGGAGAGAGAUCGGCCCGCGUUAGAUUAGUUAGUUGGUGGGGUAACGGCUUACCAAGACGACGAUCUAUAGCUGGUUUGAGAGGAUGAUCAGCAACACUGGGACUGAGACACGGCCCAGACUCCUACGGGAGGCAGCAGUGGGGAAUCUUAGACAAGGGGGCAACCCUGAUCCAGCCAUGCCGCGUGAGUGAUGAAGGCCUUAGGGUCGUAAAGCUCUUUCGCCUGUGAAGAUAAUGACGGUAGCAAAAAACCCCCGGUAACUCCGUGCCAGCAGCCG
rnacentral:rRNA from 1 species